AUAAAAGUCUUUGCCCAUCCUUUUCAUUCAUACCAAACUAAAAGCAAGAGAAGAGAAAAAGGAGAAGAAGGAGGAGAGGAGCAAGGGAGGAGGAAGAAGAUAGGAGUAAGGGGAGCACCCAUCUAAGAAUUCAGGUCAAAAGUGGACCAAAUAGAGUACAAGUAUCAAAUUUGGCCCAAAGAACCAAAUUCUAGUCAGUCUGACCAAAGCCUAGAAGAUUUCUUCUUAAAAAAAUAUGUUGAGAACAUUCCAAGGAUUUCCUAUGCGGUGGACGAUCUCUACAAGGAAGAUUUACGUUGAGUCAACCUUCUAUUUUGGAUUUUAACCACAUGCUGGGAUGAAUUUUUAAUAGUUUCAUAUUCAUGAUCUUCUAUAUUUGAUAACAUUCUAGAAGAAUUCUAUUAUAUCUUCUAUUUUGGGAUUAAGGGAAAUAUUGUAAAGGGCAUUUGAUUAUCAAAUAUUGGGUAGUUUCUAUUAUAGGUUUUGAUUUUUAUUUGCUUUCUAUUUUUCUUCUCAUUCUUUAGGUAACUGAACUCUAUAAAUAGAGAAGCUCCCUCUGCCCUAUCUUUCUUCUUACAAGUUGUAAUUUUUUAUUUUCUCUACAAAAUUUCAUUGGGGCCAUUAAAGUUGUAAUUGAAGAUUUAGAAGCAUCUUUGAAGUUGGAUAUGCGAAACUUGAAAUUUAUUCUCUUCUUCAAUAAAAUUUUGUAGUUGCUCUUCAA